GACGAACGCUGGCGGCGUGCUUAACACAUGCAAGUCGAACGGUAAGGCCCUUCGGGGUACACGAGUGGCGAACGGGUGAGUAACACGUGGGUGAUCUGCCCUGCACUUCGGGAUAAGCCUGGGAAACUGGGUCUAAUACCGGAUAGGACUCCUGGCUUCAUGGUUGGGGGUGGAAAGCUUUUGCGGUGUGGGAUGGGCCCGCGGCCUAUCAGCUUGUUGGGGGGGUAAUGGCCUACCAAGGCGACGACGGGUAGCCGGACUGAGAAGGUGACCGGUCACACUGGGACUGAGAUACGGCCCAGACUCCUACGGGAGGCAGCAGUGGGGAAUAUUGCACAAUGGGCGCAAGCCUGAUGCAGCGACGCCGCGUGAGGGAUGACGGCCUUCGGGUUGUAAACCUCUUUCAGCUAUGACGAAGCGCAAGUGACGGUAGUAGCAGAAGAAGGACCGGCCAACUACGUGCCAGCCGCCGCUGUAA
rnacentral:rRNA from 1 species